rfam:Gossypium hirsutum cultivar TM-1 chromosome 22, whole genome shotgun sequence
CAUGUCAGCGCGACUUGCUGACGUGGAAUGAAAUCGCGCCCUGAAGGACACGAUUUCCUUCCACAUCAGCAAGUCACGCUGACGUGG